rnacentral:rRNA from 1 species
ACGGAAGGCAGCAGUGGGGAAUAUUGCACAAUGGGCGCAAGCCUGAUGCAGCGAUGCCGCGUGAGGGAGGGAGGUUUUCGGAUUGUAAACCUCUGUCAACAGGGACGAAAAUGACGGUACCUGUGAAGGAAGCUCCGGCUAACUACGUGCCAGCAGCCGCGGUAAUACGUAGGGAGCAAGCGUUAUCCGGAAUUACUGGGUGUAAAGGGAGUGUAGGCGGGACUGUAAGUCAGAUGUGAAAUAUGCCGGCUCAACUGGCAGACUGCAUUUGAAACUGCGGUUCUUGAGUGAAGUAGAGGUAAGCGGAAUUCCUAGUGUAGCGGUGAAAUGCGUAGAUAUUAGGAGGAACAUCAGUGGCGAAGGCGGCUUACUGGGCUUUAACUGACGCUGAGGCUCGAAAGCGUGGGGAGCAAACAGGAUUAGAUACCCUGGUA